rnacentral:rRNA from 1 species
GUCGAACGCUGGCGGCGUGCUUAAUACAUGCAAGUCGAACGAAGUGGCGAACGGGUGAGUAAUACGUGGGUAACCUGCCCUCCUUUUCGGGUUAAGCCUUGGUAACGGUGUCUAAUACCUGAUAAAGGUGGAUGGGCUCGGGGCCUAUCGGCUUGUUGGUGGGUUGAUGGGCUACCAAGGCGGUGCCGGGUAGCCGGCCUGAGAGGGGGAACGGCGACAUUGGGACUGAGAUGAGGCCCAGACGACUACGGGAGGCAGCAGUGGGGGAAAUUGAAGAAAGGGCGAAAGCCUGAUGCAGCGACGCUGAAGGGGGGAUUAAGGCUUUCGGGUUGUAAACCUAGUUCGCAAUAGAAAGGGUAGGUGGAGAAGAAGCGACGGCUAACUACGUGCCAGCAGCCGCGGUAAUUC